rnacentral:rRNA from 1 species
AGUGAACGCUGGCGGUAGGCCUAACACAUGCAAGUCGAACGGCAGCACAGUAAGAGCUUGCUCUUACGGGUGGCGAGUGGCGGACGGGUGAGGAAUACAUCGGAAUCUACUUUUUCGUGGGGGAUAACGUAGGGAAACUUACGCUAAUACCGCAUACGGCCUACGGGUGAAAGCAGGGGAUCUUCAGACCUUGCGCGAUUGAAUGAGCCGAUGUCGGAUUAGCUAGUUGGCGGGGUAAAGGCCCACCAAGGCGACGAUCCGUAGCUGGUCUGAGAGGAUGAUCAGCCACACUGGAACUGAGACACGGUCCAGACUCCUACGGGAGGCAGCAGUGGGGAAUAUUGGACAAUGGGCGCAAGCCUGAUCCAGCCAUACCGCGUGGGUGAAGAAGGCCUUCGGGUUGUAAAGCCCUUUUGUUGGGAAAGAAAAGCAGCAGGUUAAUACCCCGCUGUUCUGACGGUACCCAAAGAAUAAGCACCGGCUAACUUCGUG